rnacentral:lncRNA from 1 species
UGAAACGCAGCCCUUGGCCCCAGCUUCCCAUGGGCAGGGAGCCAGCCGAGCCCCUCACAGGUGUUCCCCAAGGCUCUGCAGAUGCGGCCCAGGAGAAUGCAGGAAAAGGAGGACAGCCCAGUGUCUGGGGCCCCUAGCAGGGUGAAGAACCGGCAUUCCUACCCCAGCACAUCAGGGCCGGUCACUCGUCAUCUUAGUGCACAAGUCUCCAGGUUGAGAGGAGCCACGGGAGUCAGCACCAGAAGCCGGCUGCCGUGCUCGACGCCAUGACUGGCUGAGGCUUUCGGGGGUUAGGUGUUUUGUAUGCAUCAGUGAAGCAGGCAUUUGUGACCCACUAUUGGGGCAGGUGGUUUCACUUUCUCACCACUGUGUCCGGAACUGGUGGGGUCUUGGUCUCACUGACUUCACGAAUGAAGCCGUGGA